rnacentral:rRNA from 1 species
UACGGAGGGGGCCAGCGUUGCUCGGAAUUAUUGGGCGUAAAGGGCGCGUAGGCGGCUUGGUAAGUCCGUUGUGAAAUCCCUCGGCUCAACCGGGGAACUGCGACGGAUACUGCUUGGCUUGAGUCCCGGAGAGGGUAGCGGAAUUCCCAGUGUAGCGGUGAAAUGCGUAGAUAUUGGGAGGAACAUCGGUGGCGAAGGCGGCUACCUGGACGGGUACUGACGCUGAUGCGCGAAAGCUAGGGGAGCAAACAGG